rnacentral:rRNA from 1 species
UACGAAGGGGGCUAGCGUUGCUCGGAAUCACUGGGCGUAAAGCGCACGUAGGCGGAUUGUUAAGUCAGGGGUGAAAUCCUGGAGCUCAACUCCAGAACUGCCUUUGAUACUGGCGAUCUUGAGUCCGGGAGAGGUGAGUGGAACUGCGAGUGUAGAGGUGAAAUUCGUAGAUAUUCGCAAGAACACCAGUGGCGAAGGCGGCUCACUGGCCCGGUACUGACGCUGAGGCGCGAAAGCGUGGGGAGCAAUCCGG